rnacentral:rRNA from 1 species
UCUAGAGUGAGGGAGAGGCAGAUGGAAUUGGUGGUGUAGGGGUAAAAUCCGUAGAUAUCACCAAGAAUACCCAUUGCGAAGGCGAUCUGCUGGAACUCAACUGACGCUAAGGCGCGAAAGCGUGGGGAGCAAACAGGAUUAGAUACCCUGGUAGUCCACGCCCUAAACGAUGUACACUAGUUGUUGGGGUGCUAGUCAUCUCAGUAAUGCAGCUAACGCAUUAAGUGUACCGCCUGGGGAGUACGGUCGCAAGAUUAAAACUCAAAGGAAUAGACGGGGACCCGCACAAGCGGUGGAGCAUGUGGUUUAAUUCGAAGAUACGCGAAGAACCUUACCUGGGCUUGAUAUCCUAAGAACCUUAUAGAGAUAUGAGGGUGCUAGCUUGCUAGAACUUAGAGACAGGUGCUGCACGGCUGUCGUCAGCUCGUGUCGUGAGAUGUUGGGUUAAGUCCCGCAACGAGCGCAACCCACGUAUUUAGUUGCUAACGGUUCGGCCGAGCACUCUAAAUAGACUGCCUUCGUAAGGAGGAGGAAGGUGUGGACGACGUCAAGUCAUCAUGGCCCUUAUGCCCAGGGCGACACACGUGCUACAAUGGCAUAUACAAUGAGACGCAAUACCGCGAGGUGGAGCAAAUCUAUAAAAUAUGUCCCAGUUCGGAUUGUUCUCUGCAACUCGAGAGCAUGAAGCCGGAAUCGCUAGUAAUCGUA